UUGCGCGCGGGCGCGGCCACUCAGCGGGCGCUCUGCUGACUGAGAGGCUCGGGUCCGACGCUUUGGAACACCCUCAAGCUAAUAGCAUCUCGGCUGAUACCAUGAGUUCUACGUCAGAUUGUUGACCUGGUCACCUUAGGGCUAAUUAGUUCACUUAAUCCCCAUAAGAACCGGAAAGAAGGUAUUGUCAUCGUGUUGUUAAGGAUUCUGAGACACAGAGUGGGUAACGCACUUGGUGUUCACACAGCUAAUCCAUGUUAGAGCUGAAAUUCAAACACCGAUUUGGAUGUUAAAAGCCCUUUAGGUUUUCCCAGGGGUAAAUAAAAUCAUUGUAAUGUACCAAGUGGCUACAGAAUCUCAUUCACUUGUGACUGUGUGUGAGAUGCCGGGGGUAUAAUAGCGUGUAAAAACACAUAUCCCCACCUUUCCUGAAGCUGAUAUUCUGGACGUAAGUAAGUGGCGACUGCUAUGAAAGAGAGAAAACAGUGAUGUGACAGAGUAACGCUUAGGGUUACUUUAGACCAGGUGGUUUGGAACGGCCCUUGUCAGAUGAUGGUGCUAAGGCUUGAAAGUUGAGAAAAACGUGUUUUAUGAAGAGUUGGAGGUAGAGUGUGCUCAGAAGACAGCAUCAACUGUAAAGGUCCUCAGAUAUGAACAAGACAAAGUCCGUGUUAAAAGUUUUACAAGUGGAAACAGUAGAGGUUAAUCAUAAGCCACAUUGCAUCCCCCAAAAUUCAUAUGUUGAAGUUCCAACUCCCAGUGCCUCAGAAUGUGAAUGUAUUUGGAGACAGUCCUUUUUAAAGAGGUGAUUAAAACAAGACCCUUAGGGUGAGCCCUAAUCCAGUCUGACUGAUGUCGUCAUAAGAAGAGGAAAUUUGGACACAGACACCAAGGUUGUGUUUGCAUAAAGGAAAGACUAUCUGAAAGCCAAAAAAAUAAAAAAAAUUUAAAAAAUCUCUCAGGAGAAACCAAACCUGCCAACACCUUGAUCUUAGACCUCUAGCCUCCAGCACUGUGAGAAAAUCACAACCAGUCUGUAUAGGGCACCCAGUGUGUAGUGUUUUCUUAUAGUAACCGUAGCAGACUAAUAUACCAUACAAUUAGCUGUAGAUGACAGUUGUGAUGAGAGCCCGGUAAGGAAAGUUUGAGGGUCAUGAAAGGGUACAACGAGGGUACCUAAACCAUUCUGGCCUGGAAAUGAGGACUCUCCUAAACGUAGAGAGGAGUUAAUCAGGGAAAAGGCCCACCAAUCAUUCACAUUGUUAUGCUGCUUUUACCACCAUAGGACUCUUCAUCUUGCAAAAUGAAAACUCUUGUUCCCAUUAAACACUAAUUCCUCAGGUCCUCACGACUACUUUCUGUCUCUAUAAGUUUGGUUUUUCUGUGGGAUUCUCAAAGAACUGCUGUGAGAGUAGAGGUGAAGGGAGAAGUGACUCAGUCUGCCUUCUGCACUUGGGAAACUAAGGGGCGACUGAACUAGGAUGAACACAUGUCUUGUCAGCUUCAGAAGAGGAAAACAGCAUUCCCGGCGAAAUAAGAGCAUAUAUCUAUCAUGUAAGGAUGCUGGAAGCGCCACACCUUCUCUAUGGACCCCUGUUGUACCAGUCUGUGUUCUGAUUUGUUUUUCUGAAACAUUGACAUUAUUAUGUUAUUCUUUCACUCUAAAAUUUACAAUAUCUGUUAUUGUCUGAGAGAUAAAGCUCACCUUCUUCAACCUGCCACUCAAAAUUCUAUUUUUCUAUUUGAUGGUGAAAAUCCUUAUAAUUAAAAUGAAUCCCCCAAGUCUUUUCCCACCCCUCAACAUGUUAUAAAUGAGAAGUGAUUUAAGAGUAAUAGUGUAAUUUUAACUUUGAAAACUACCUGACAAGAUAAUUCCUUGAUCUUUCUAUGCACCUGAAUUGCAGAGCACAGAGGAUAGAUCUCACAAUCAAUAAUGUGUUAACCUGUUGUAGUUACCCAGCCAAAGAAACAUCAUUUUGAGGGAAGAAAUGUUUCAAAUAGGUCUUCACACAGUUUUGAGUCCUGUCAUAAUGGAAUUUGUUGGAAGUAUGAAAGCCUCCAAUUCCUGCCAACUACUAUAUCCAUCAAGAAAAGGUUCCCUGUGACUCUUCACUCCCAUAGCAGAUCUAAGGCUGUGGUGCCUAGUGCAUAGAUGCUUGUCAUAUGUGACUAGUGAGCACUUGAAAUGGGGCUAGUGCAACUGAGGAACUGAAUAUUUUAGUUAAUUUAAAUUAAAUUUUAUUAUAUUAUUAUUAUUAUUAUUAUUUUGAGACAGAGUCUUGCUCUAUCACCCAGGCUGGAGUGUCGUGGUGCAAUCUUGGCUCACUGCAACCUCGCCUCCUGGGUUCAAGCAAUUCUCAUGCUUCAGCCUCCUGAGUAGCUGGGAUAACAGGUGCCCACCACCACACCCAGCUAAUUUUUGAAUUUUUGGCAGAGAUGGAGUUUCACCAUGUUGACCAGGCUGGUCUCGAACUCCUGGCCUCAAGCAAUCUGCCUGCCUUGGGCUCCCAACAUGCUGGGAUUAUAGGCUUGAGCCACCAUGCCCAGCAAUUUAAAUGUUAAAAGUAACAGUGUGAGUUAUUUUUCUGUAUAUGAGGCUAUAUUGUUUUGGAAGGAACAUAUAUCACUUUAACUUUUCAAAAUUUAGCAUCUGCAUUGAGAUGUGCUGUAAGUGUAAAAGACAUACCACACUUCAAAAGACUUACUCUAAAAAAAAU
rnacentral:lncRNA from 10 species